GUGUCAGCCGCCGCGGUAAUACGUAGGGGGCUAGCGUUGUCCGGAAUCAUUGGGCGUAAAGCGCGUGUAGGCGGUCCGGUAAGUCCGCUGUGAAAGUCGGGGGCUCAACCCUCGAAAGCCGGUGGAUACUGUCGGGCUCGAGUGCGGGAGAGGCGAGUGGAAUUCCUGGUGUAGCGGUGAAAUGCGCAGAUAUCAGGAGGAACACCGAUUGCGAAGGCAGCUCGCUGGAACGUUACUGACGCUGAGACGCGAAAGCGUGGGGAGCAAACAGGAUUAGAAACCCCUGUAGUCC
rnacentral:rRNA from 1 species